GUGAGGAAUAUUGGUCAAUGGACGAGAGUCUGAACCAGCCAAGUCGCGUGAAGGAAGACGGUUCUAUGAAUUGUAAACUUCUUUUGUGCAGGAAUAAAGUGGGUUACGUGUAACCUUUUGUAUGUACUGUACGAAUAAGGAUCGGCUAACUCCGUGCCAGCAGCCGCGGUAAUACGGAGGAUCCGAGCGUUAUCCGGAUUUAUUGGGUUUAAAGGGUGCGUAGGUGGAUUGGUAAGUCAGCGGUGAAAGUUUGCAGCUUAACUGUAAAAUUGCCGUUGAAACUGUCGGUCUUGAGUGCAAAUGAGGUAGGCGGAAUGUGUUGUGUAGCGGUGAAAUGCUUAGAUAUAACACAGAACUCCGAUUGCGAAGGCAGCUUACUGGGAUGCAACUGACACUGAUGCACGAAAGCGUGGGUAUCAAACAGGAUUAGAAACCCUAGUAGUCC
rnacentral:rRNA from 1 species